GAUGAACGCUGGCGGCGUGCCUAAUACAUGCAAGUCGAACGCAAUACUUCGGUAUUGAGUGGCGAACGGGUGAGUAAUACAUAAGCAACCUGGCCAUGACAAGGGGAUAACUGACGGAAACGACAGCUAAAACCGCAUAGGUAUAAACGAAGCAUUUUGUUUAUAUUAAAAAUGCUAAGGCAUUGGUGAUGGAUGGGCUUAUGGAGCAUUAGCUAGUUGGUGAGGUAGAGGCUCACCAAGGCGACGAUGCAUAGCCGGCCUGAGAGGGUGAACGGCACCACUGGGACUGAGACACGGCCCAGACUCCUACGGGAGGCAGCAGUAGGGAAUUUUCGGCAAUGGGGGGAACCCUGACCGAGCAACGCCGCGUGAAGGAAGAAGGAAUUCGUUUCGUAAACUUCUGUUAUAAAGGAAGAAAGGGAUGUAUAGGGAAUGAUACAUCUAAGACGGUACUUUAUGAGGAAGCCACGGCUAACUACGUGCCAGCCGCCGCGGUAA
rnacentral:rRNA from 1 species